rnacentral:rRNA from 1 species
UUGACGGUACCUAACCAGAAAGCCACGGCUAACUACGUGCCAGCAGCCGCGGUAAUACGUAGGUGGCAAGCGUUGUCCGGAAUUAUUGGGCGUAAAGGGCUCGCAGGCGGUUUCUUAAGUCUGAUGUGAAAGCCCCCGGCUCAACCGGGGAGGGUCAUUGGAAACUGGGAAACUUGAGUGCAGAAGAGGAGAGUGGAAUUCCACGUGUAGCGGUGAAAUGCGUAGAGAUGUGGAGGAACACCAGUGGCGAAGGCGACUCUCUGGUCUGUAACUGACGCUGAGGAGCGAAAGCGUGGGGAGCGAACAGGAUUAGAUACCCUGGUAGUCCACGCCGUAAACGAUGAGUGCUAAGUGUUAGGGGGUUUCCGCCCCUUAGUGCUGCAGCUAACGCAUUAAGCACUCCGCCUGGGGAGUACGGUCGCAAGACUGAAACUCAAAGGAAUUGACGGGGGCCCGCACAAGCGGUGGAGCAUGUGGUUUAAUUCGAAGCAACGCGAAGAACCUUACCAGGUCUUGACAUCCUCUGACAACCCUAGAGAUAGGGCUUUCCCUUCGGGGACAGAGUGACAGGUGGUGCAUGGUUGUCGUCAGCUCGUGUCGUGAGAUGUUGGGUUAAGUCCCGCAACGAGCGCAACCCUUGAUCUUAGUUGCCAGCAUUCAGUUGGGCACUCUAAGGUGACUGCCGGUGACAAACCGGAGGAAGGUGGGGAUGACGUCAAAUCAUCAUGCCCCUUAUGACCUGGGCUACACACGUGCUACAAUGGACAGAACAAAGGGC